GGGUUUAUUUUUAGCCCAUUACUGUGAUACUGAAACAAUAAAGUUUUCUAAAUGAAAGAGUUGGAAACGUUUUUUUGUAUUUUUUUUUUAAUCUAGUAAUGUAGCUCCCUUGCCUGUAUCUCUUUGUCACAGUGCUGUCAAAAUGAGUCAGUCAAACACCUAAUUUUUGGUGUGAUCAGUACUCAAAUUCUCUGCAUUGGGCUAGAGCCCAAUCCUGCCUCAUGCUGAGCAUCUCUUUCAAGGCACAGAGGACCCUUUCCUCUCUGGCUCAGUGGGAAUGGAAUUCACUCAGCGCUUAGCAAGACGAGGUCCCUAGUUUUUCUGCAACCACACAAGUUUCCUUCCUGUUGUGCACCUGAUAUGUGACUGACUCAAACUGACAUGCAACUUCCACUAUAUUAAAAAAGAGUGAAGAAACUCUUAGGAAGACAGCUUCUCAGACAGCAGAUAGAAAACUGGGCAGAACAGAGCUUUAAACUCCUCUGAUACAGUAAAUCACUGUUUGCAAAACACCUAAUUUUAAGAGCUAUUGGACUGCCCACUGUGCGUUUGACUGCUAGGCCACACGACUGGCUCUAAAAUUUUCCGGGGCUUCUACCAAGGAUAAUUAAAAGAGAAACCUGUAAAGGCAACAUUCCUUCAAGCGAGUUGGUGCUGCAACGUGCUGGGCCUGAUCCUGAAAUCCAAUUACAACACUGGACCUCAGUUGCUAACACUGCAGUUAUUCAGCUGAAAGAAUGA
rnacentral:lncRNA from 1 species